UGCCCCGCUCCGCUCCGCGGUGCAGGUGUGGCGGGAUGAAGCCGUGGUGCGCUGGGUGGAGGGGGCAAGGCGGUGACUGAGGUGCCUCGCCAGCCCAGCCUAGACCCGCGCAUUCCCUUGGAGACCCGGCAGGGGAGGGCGGCAUCCCACACCUCACGCGGUGCACAGGGUGCACACGGAUGUCCUGUGCUCUUGGAUAUCUUUGUGGCGAAAGCCUUCGCAAAAGCAGCGUUUUGAACGCCUUACCCCAUUAUACUGGAGGGGGUCCAGCAGAGGGUCAAAAAGAUGAUUACGGGUCUGUAGCAUCUCUUAUGAGAAGAGACUGCAGGACUGGGUUUGUUUAAUCUGGAGAAGACUGAGAGGGGGUCUCAUCAAUGCGUACAAACACCUUAAAGGCAGGUGUCAAGCUGAUGGUGCCAGGCUCUUCUCAAUCGUGCCCAGCGACAGGAUGAGGAGCAAUGGCCAUAAAUUAAAACACAAGAAGGUUUACCUCAACACAGGGAAGAACUUUACACUGAGGGCAGCAGAGCACUGGAACAGGCUGCAUGGUGAGGUGAUGGACUCUCCCUCUCUGGAGAUGUUCAAAACCCACCUGGACACAUUCCUGUGUGACCUACCCUGGGUGAUUUUGUCCUGGCAGGAGGUUGGACUGGAUGAUCUCCAGAGGUCUCUUCCAAUUUUAACAAUUAUGUGAUUCUGUGACACCAGCAGUAGGGCAGGACCGGACCUUGCAGACAUGCCUGGUGCACACAGAUGUGGCGUGCUCUUGGAGGUCAUCAUGGCAAAAGCCCUUGCAAAUGUAGUUUUCUGAACUACUUACCCUAUUUUAAGCCUAUAUCCUUACUCCACACCAAGCUGGUUUGUUUUUCCCAGUGUUCAGUAGAUGUUGGUGCAGCUGGUGGAGUUGUGAGUGGGGUGUCUUGGAGGAGUUGGUCAUAGCCCCAGCUCCAGGCUCACCUCUGUGUGGAGCCUUGCAUCCAAUUUCCUGUGUCAGGAAUUGACUGACCAUUCAUCCUGUGCUGUCUCAGUUUCACUGUUUGCAUUAUGCUUUCUGGUCUCAUUACUGAUUUUUGACUGUCAUUUAAUGUCUGUGGCAUAGCCCAAAAGCUAUGGCAGUCUUUGCUGAGCUGUGAAAGCAAAUCUUUCUGUGGAGGAUGGAAGAAUAUUGUCAAAUGUAGUUCUUGGCAAUGGUGAUGCAUUUUGAGAGUAGGUGUAUGUAUAUAUCAUAUAUAAUCGCUUAAGACACAGUGCUAUGUAAAUACUGCAUUUUCUUUUGGGGAGCUACUGUCUCUCAGCUUUCUGAAUGAUUCAUUAAGAGUAGUCCCUGUACUAGAACUACAUAUUCCACAGUGAAAGCCCCAUCUCAAGAAAUAGAUUACUUUUACUUUUAUUUUCUCAUUCUAGUGGACUGUCAUGUUUGCUAUUUGAAAAUUACAGUAAGUCUUCCAUUAUCCAUGAAAAUAACCUUUCUUCAUUUUACAUAGAGAAUUUUGAUUUCUCAUGAAAUUUCAUAAGCAUUUCCACUCUAACAAGCCAAAUGUAUUUGCAAAAAAGUAAUAAUAAUUGUAUGCUUUUGAGAUUUGGAAGAAAGAAAUAUUAUCUGUCUUAUUCAAAUUGUAUUGACCUUAUUGAACUCUUUAUAAGCCAGGGAAAAAAGACAACUGUAGAAGACUUUACCCUAUCCGACUGUAGUCUUGUUACAGCUCUAAAUUUCCAUUAAUCCAUCUCAUGAAGGGGAACUUUAAAUAGCAAGAGGCUCUUCAGUAUAAAUAUUCUGCCUGACAUUAAGAUGCAAAAUACUCUGGUGUUUUAGUCAGCCGGCUCAUUAUCCUAGAUAAAGGAUUUUUUUCUUCUCAUUCCACAGAGACUUUCAGAAUAUAUUUAAAUUUUAAUUUGCCUACAAAGAUAUUUAAGAGCAGAAAUCACACUCUUUCCCUUACCUUUGCCUAGAAGUACUCUUCUGUUUCAUGGCACUUUAUGAUUUUGAGUAGGCUUAUUUCCUCUCUGAAAUUAUUGUGAUUUUUUUGCUCAUUCCCUUAUGUGAGUGUAGAAAGCCAUACAGAUGCAGCUGUGCCAAAAGAAUCUCAGAUAGCCAGCUCACACUAUGAUAGUAAUGUUUAGACUAACAAGUCUAUAUAAUAUACUGGUAGCUUUCCAACAAUAAUUUUUAUGCUAGUGAAAUGCCUGAUUUUUGUAAAUGUCUGUACUGUCAUCAGCUUAUUAAUUACCAUUUUCUUUCCAACUAUUUCAUGUUGAAAUGUUAUAUGCCAUAAACCAGUCAACACCAUUUUAAUGUAGUAGCAACACUGUAGUAAUAAUGUUCAUUGCUUUGCCACCUUUGUAUAGAAAGAAGGUUCUGUUUAUCUAAAACACAUUUGUGAGAUGUCUUGCCUGAGAAGAGAAGGUUAUGUGUCAUGGACAUGGAAAGAAGUGCCACAAAAGCCUGCCUUGUCCCCCUGCUUCCUUCCUGGCAGCACUUGUGUCCUUUUUUGUAAUCCUCAGCAAGAUGAAUCUCCCCCACGUGGGAAGAGCAUAGGCCCUGGAGUGCAGCUGCAUGAUGAUACACUCCCUGACUGCACAGAAAUAGCUCAAAAAGAAUUAUUAGAGAAAAAAAUGGGCUAGAUGAGCACAUUGGUGAAUGCAGAUUCUAUGCCUGCCUCAACUUCAAGGAGAGAACAUCACAAAAAUUCUUCAUUCCUGUGACCAGGACCUUCAUUCAGGCCACUGAAUGCUAGAAUUGGUAGGCUGCUUAAUGCUGUUCCCUAUUGUUCUCUGAGCUGGAUCCCCAGCUGCUAACCACAGACAGUAGGCAAGAUGAUUAUUAGAGGAGAAACUGAAGACUAUUACCACUGAUGAAUCAUAGAUUUCAAUCACUUAUUCUUCUGGAGAAAAAGGCAACAGGGCUGCUGCUUAUUCUGAAGGUCUGAGUGGUGUGGUGAGGAAGAAUGUGAUGAUAUUCAUAUGGGAACAGCAGAAAUGGUGGUGGCUCCCAAACAUCUGAUAGGAGACAGUGGAACAAAGGACAGGGCUGACACAAGUGCCAUUUCAUCACAGCAUGCCCCAAUCCAACGGCACCGUUUCCUGGGAGAUGGAGCAACACUGCGUGCCUAUUAAUCACGAGAGAAGCUCUGCUGUUCUCACAAGUCCUCCAAAACCUGUCUAACUCGAGUGGGCGAGGAUCAGCCCACCCAUGACAAACUACUGCAGCUUUAUCCUACAUACUAUAUAUUAUCAAAAAUGUUAUGUCUGCUCUGAACAAAAUGUCCAAGUGUGAUAAAUGUGGGCAAUGUUCCAAGAAAGUGGGCUUGUCUUCAUGAGUGUUGUACUUAAAAUCAAACUUUAAGCUAAUUCAUUGUAAUCAGCCUAAUCUACAGACCUGCAUGAGGCACUCAUUUUUUUGUAAAUAUUGCUGUCACACUUACUGAAAUUAAUAUUUUGUGCAGAUUAGUGUGCUGCUAACUAAAUUGCUUUGAAAUCUAAUCAAAUUUACUGUGACUUUCUCUUGUA